ensembl:processed_transcript
CAAAGAAUGGAUAAAGAAAAUGUGAUUCGAAAAAGGGCAGGGUGGGAGGCUAGGUACGGCAACAACAGGGGCUCCAGUCUUCUCUGUCGAUAGGAAGCUGGACAACUGGAGGGAAGAUGGUUUACAUCUCGAAUGGUUAAGUGUCGGACAGCCAGAAUCAGUCCCCAUGGAGACUUUCAUAACAGAUUUCUUCUGGGGAAUAGCAGAAUUUGUGGUUUUCUUUUUCAAAACUCUGCUUCAGCAAGAUGUGAAGAAAAGAAGAGGCUACAGGAGCUCCUCUGGUUCCAGAUACGACGAUGGAAGAGGGCCACCAGGAAACCCUCCAGGAAGAAUGGGUGGGAUCAGUCACCUUCACAGCCCCAGCCCUCCUCCAGUGGCUGGUGGAUGAGGAAGGUAAACGUCUGCUCUGAGAAGCAGACAACUAGACAUACACAUGAAGAAGGAAGCCAUGAAGCGGUGAAGAGCGGCUCAUGCAGGAGAAGAUCAAGGUGUAUGUCCAAACAAGGACUGCUCUGUGUCCUCACAGAUGAACAAGGUCAUGCUGGGAAUUCCCUAUACAGGAUCUGGCCUAACUGAUACGCAGUUCUGUAAAUGUACAUGUGUAUCUCCUUAUCUUUUUUGUAUAGUUUACAAAAGUAUUAACAUAGUUUAAAGAAGUAAAUAUUUUUAGGUUGCAAAACUUGAUUCUUCAUCUUUAUGUGAUCAUACCCAAAAUCUUUGAUUGGAAGAAAUAAAGGCCAUGUAUUUAGUGCUAAAAAAAAAAAAA